AUCCUGAGAGCAAAGAGAGCUGCAUCAGACAUGCCCCCACCCAGUGCUGCUAAAAAGCCUGCUCGAUGCUGCAGCUCACAAACACACAAAACAAUCCCUCAUCACUAGUGCAUUAAAAACACUGCAGGAUUCCUGUGAUGAGGUUUUAUCUCCAAACUGGAUUGAUGCACUACUUGAGAAGAUUAAGGCGGAGAAACAGUCUAUGGGACAUGAACUCCUGCAGUCUCUCUGUAGGGUUUAUGUGGGAUUGUGUCAACAGUGAUGAGACUCUCAUAAAGCACAUGCCCUCGCCUACAGACUUCUUAAAGAAGACUCUUCUGAAGCCCCAAAACUGAUAAUGGUCAUGGUGACAGCAUGGCCAAGUGUUUUCUCCUGUAACAGCCCUUUAUGCAGAGCCGUUCACAUCGUGUGCAGAAUGAAGGCAUACGGAAAGAUUUAUUAUUUGCUCAGCAAAUCUCUGCACUGGGAUACGAUUUGCCGUGGGAGCU